GCCGGGUGUGGUGGCUGACGCCUGUAAUCCCAGCACUUUUGGAGGCCGAGGCGGGUGGAUCACCUGAGGUCAGGACUUCGGAUCAGCCUGACCGACAUGGUGAAACCCUGUCUCUA
ensembl:misc_RNA Metazoa_SRP Metazoan signal recognition particle RNA